GCCUGCAACCAUAUCACACAGCAACUCACAACUGGCAACCCACUGAAGCCCAGCAAAUAUGAGCCUGGCCAGUACCUGGAUGGGAGACCUCCUGGGAAAAAUAGGUUGCUGCUGGAA
rnacentral:rRNA from 1 species